rnacentral:rRNA from 1 species
UGGGGAAUAUUGCACAAUGGGGGAAACCCUGAUGCAGCGACGCCGCGUGGGUGAAGAAGUACUUCGGUACGUAAAGCCCUAUCAGCAGGGAAGAAAAUGACGGUACCUGAUUAAGAAGCCCCGGCUAACUACGUGCC